rnacentral:lncRNA from 1 species
GAGCCGUCUCUGCAAGGGAGGAAUGCCACGGUCUCCUGUUCCUCAUGCUUCUGGUUCCUUUCCCCCCUUUUCUUCUGGGGGAUUUUACUGCAGAUCUUCGGAAGUGGUGACCACUAGACCUUCCAGAUGGCCGGGAAGGAGGCAGACUGCCGCCGCCUGCUUCUCCUCGCCCUGGUGGCGGAGAUUUCGUCCGCGUCCGUCCGGUCGUCGGAGGGGGAAGAUGAGGAGGAGGAGGAAGAAGAGGAAGACACCAUGUAUCUGACGGACCUGGUCCUGAGCUUCGUCCUCUCCGCCCUGCGAGGGGCCCUCCGGCCGCUUCCCUCGCCGCCGGCGGGGGUAGCGCGAUGCCUCACCCCAGCCACGUGCAGUCCCACCGGGAGCACGCAGUUGCAGAGCAAUCCUGAGAGAACAAUCAACGAGCAGGGGGCAGCAUCGGAGUUGAGAUCCAGAUCCACAUGAUUCACAGAACCUAGAGGGGAGGGGAUCUGAAGGAGAUCGUACCGAUGUUGGCGAGGCGAUUCACCCAGCGGGGGAUCGGCGUGCCGACGAGGCGCAGGCAGACGUCGUUGCAGAAGUGGUUGCAGUUCUUGGAGAUGAGGUGGUACGAGCAGCCGGUGUACGACUCCGCCAUUUUCUCCAUGAAGGUCCUCACCUCCCGAGGGCCGAGGUCCGUCCGGCCGAUGAGUAUCGACUUCCGGAAGC